GAUGAACGCUGGCGGCGUGCCUAAUACAUGCAAGUCGAGCGAACAGACGAGGAGCUUGCUCCUCUGACGUUAGCGGCGGACGGGUGAGUAACACGUGGAUAACCUACCUAUAAGACUGGGAUAACUUCGGGAAACCGGAGCUAAUACCGGAUAAUAUAUUGAACCGCAUGGUUCAAUAGUGAAAGACGGUUUUGCUGUCACUUAUAGAUGGAUCCGCGCCGCAUUAGCUAGUUGGUAAGGUAACGGCUUACCAAGGCGACGAUGCGUAGCCGACUGAGAGGGUGAUCGGCCACACUGGAACUGAGACACGGUCCAGACUCCUACGGGAGGCAGCAGUAGGGAAUCUUCCGCAAUGGGCGAAAGCUUGACGGAGCAACGCCGCGUGAGUGAUGAAGGUCUUCGGAUCGUAAAACUCUGUUAUUAGGGAAGAACAAAUGUGUAAGUAACUAUGCACGUCUUGACGGUACCUAAUCAGAAAGCCACGGCUAACUACGUG
rnacentral:rRNA from 1 species